CGGCUAACUCCGUGCCAGCAGCCGCGGUAAUACGGAGGGUGCGAGCGUUAAUCGGAAUCACUGGGCGUAAAGCGCGCGUAGGCGGCGCGAUAAGUCAGGCGUGAAAGCCCUCGGCUCAACCGGGGAAUUGCGCUUGAUACUGUCGUGCUUGAGUCUCGGAGAGGGUGGCGGAAUUUCAGGUGUAGGAGUGAAAUCCGUAGAUAUCUGAAGGAACACCAGUGGCGAAGGCGGCCACCUGGACGAGU
rnacentral:rRNA from 1 species